rnacentral:rRNA from 1 species
UACGUAGGGUGCGAGCGUUAAUCGGAAUUACUGGGCGUAAAGCGUGCGCAGGCGGUUUUGUAAGCCAGAUGUGAAAUCCCCGGGCUCAACCUGGGAAUGGCAUUUGGGACUGCAAGGCUGGAGUGUGGCAGAGGGGACUAGAAUUCCUGGUGUAGCAGUGAAAUGCGUAGAUAUCAGGAGGAAUACCGAUGGCGAAGGCAGGUCCCUGGGUUAACACUGACGCUCAUGCACGAAAGCGUGGGGAGCAAAC